GACGAACGCUGGCGGCGUGCUUAACACAUGCAAGUCGAACGGAAAGGCCCUGCUUUUGUGGGGUGCUCGAGUGGCGAACGGGUGAGUAACCCGUGAGUAACCUGCCCUUGACUUUGGGAUAACUUCAGGAAACUGGGGCUAAUACCGGAUAGGAGCUCCUGCUGCAUGGUGGGGGUUGGAACGUUUCGGCGGAUGGGGAUGGACUCGCGGCUUAUCAGCUUGUUGGUGGGGUAGUGGCUUACCCAGGCUUUGACGGGUAGCCGGCCUGAGAGGGUGACCGGCCACAUUGGGACUGAGAGACGGACCAGACUCCUACGGGAGGCAGAAGUGGGGAAUAUUGCACAAUGGGCGGAAGCCUGAUGCAGCAACGCCGCGUGCGGGAUGACGGCCUUCGGGUUGUAAACCGCUGUCGCCUGUGACGAAGCGUGAGUGACGGUAAUGGGUAAAGAAGCACCGGCUAACUACGUG
rnacentral:rRNA from 1 species